CUGGGAAUAGCUUAAGGUUGAAAGCUCAGAAUUCUUACUUCUGUGAUGUUUAUGGUGAACUUCUCAGG
rnacentral:tRNA from 1 species